UUCUGUGCUCAGCACAUUGCUAAGCCUUCUGCACGUUGUGCUGAGAGUUCUCCAUCUGCAGCUCCAGAUCCAUUUUCCACUCUGCUCUGGACCCGAGGAAGCUGACCUCAUGUGGAUGGCAUCCCCAGGAUCCUCUGACUUCUGCAACCUGCCUGGUACAUAAUAAAAUCUGAACAAAUAUUUGUUAAAUGAAUGAAUGAACAAACAAAGCACCCAUCAGCAGACCUGGGCUACUCAGCUUGGAAGCAGGGCACACCCAAACAGAAGACAAACAGGGAAGCUGAGAAGGAGAGACGAAGAGUGAGAAGCAGAGACGAUGACCAUCUGUCGCAGGUUGCAGAGACUGUCUCAGGUUCAGCACAGAGUGUCUUGAGUCUGGGAGUGUGUGUUCCACCUCAGUCAGAGCUGAAGCAACAGGCAAGCCAAUAAAGCCUGGGGGCGUGGAUGAAGGAAAGAAGACAUCACACAGUCUCCAACUGGUUUAGAGGAUAUUUCUCACUGCUCCCUAAAAAUGAGAAAUGUAACUUCUCAAAUCAACAAUGUGUUACGGGUGGAAGUCAGACAAAAGCUAGGGGUGCAUAAGAUGGAAAAGGUUUCAAAGCCAGUCACUCAAGUGACAAGACACAGUAAGAGCAGACAGGACUCUGCUCCUGCCCACCUCUCCCCGUUCUGUGACCACAAGUUUCUCCUGCUUCUGGGGGUGCCAUUGUGGGUUGAAUUGUGUCCUCCCCUCCCCCAAAUAUG